UAGAAUGAUAAAAUGGAUUUCUAACCCACUAUAAAGUGUAAACUUACAUUCUAG
rnacentral:tRNA from 1 species